rnacentral:rRNA from 1 species
GUGGGGAAUUUUGCGCAAUGGGGGAAACCCUGACGCAGCAACGCCGCGUGAGUGAUGAAGGCCUUCGGGUCGUAAAGCUCUGUCAGAGGGGAAGAAAUGCAGGGGUGCUAAUAUCAUCUUUGCUUGACGGUACCCUCAAAGGAAGCGCCGGCUAACUCCGUGCCCGCAGCCGCGGUAAUACGGAGGGUGCGAGCGUUGUUCGGAAUUAUUGGGCGUAAAGCGCGUGUAGGCGGUUUGGUAAGUCUGAUGGGAAAGGCCCGGGCUCAGCCGGGGAAGUGCAUUGGAAACUGUCAGACUUGAAUACGGGAGAGGGUAGUGGAAGUCCUAGUGUAGGAGUGAAAUGCGUAGAUAUUAGGAGGAACACCGGUGGCGAAGGCGGCUACCUGGACCGAUAUUGACGCUGAGACGCGAAAGCGUGGGGAGCAAACAGGAUUAGAUACCCCGGUAGUCC